rnacentral:rRNA from 1 species
GAUGCUAUUUCUAGAGAUAGAAAGUUACUUCGGUACAUCGGUGACAGGUGGUGCAUGGUUGUCGUCAGCUCGUGUCGUGAGAUGUUGGGUUAAGUCCCGCAACGAGCGCAACCCCUAUUGUUAGUUGCCAUCAUUCAGUUGGGCACUCUAGCGAGACUGCCGGUAAUAAACCGGAGGAAGGUGGGGAUGACGUCAAAUCAUCAUGCCCCUUAUGACCUGGGCUACCCACGUGCUACAAUGGUCGGUACAACGAGUUGCGAGUCGGUGACGGCGAGCUAAUCUCUUAAAGCCAAUCUCAGUUCGGAUUGUAGGCUGCAACUCGCCUACAUGAAGUCGGAAUCGCUAGUAAUCGCGGAUCAGCACGCCGCGGUGAAUACGUUCCCGGGCCUU